UAAGCUUAAAAACAGUUAUAUAAGAAAAAGUUAAAUUUCAGUUUAUAAUUAUGUAUAUAUAUAUAAUUCAUUAGAUUUAUAUUAAAAAAAUUAAUAUAAUUUAUUAUUAAAUUUAAAAUGAUUUAAUUAGUAUAAUUUUAGUAAUAAAAUUUAUUUAUGAAUUAGGCAAAAAUAAUUUUCACCUGUUUAUCAAAAACAUGUCUUUUAGAAAAAUAUUAAAAGUCUAAUCUGCCCAAUGAAUAAUAAAUGGCCGCAGUAAACUGACUGUGCAAAGGUAGCAUAAUAAUUAGUCUUUUAAUUGAAGGCUUGUAUGAAUGAUUGAAUGAAAAAUUAACUUUAUUAAUAUAAUAAUUAAAACUUAAUUUUCAAGUAAAAAAGCUUAAAUUAACAAGUUGGACGAGAAGACCCUAUAGAGUUUAAAAAAUAUUAUAUAUAUAUAUAUAUAAUUAGCAUUAAUAAUAUAAAAAUAAAAUAUUUUUUUUGUUGGGGUGACAUUAUAAAAAAUAUAACUUUUAAUAUAUAAUACAUUUAUUAAUGUCAAAGAAAUUUUUGAUCCAAUUAUGAAUUUUGAUUAAAAGAAUAAAUUACCUUAGGGAUAACAGCGUUAUUAUUUUUUAGAGUUCAUAUCAAUAAAAUAGUUUGCGACCUCGAUGUUGGAUUAAGAAGAUAAUCUGGAGCAUAAUCUAGUUUUAUAGGUCUGUUCGACCUUUAAAUUCUUACAUGAUCUGAGUUCAGACCGGCGUGAGCCAGGUUGGUUUCUAUCCACUUUAUAUUUAUUAAUAUUAGUACGAAAGGACCAUAUUA
rnacentral:rRNA from 1 species